UGUUGCUAAAUUUCCCCAACUAAAUCAUUAGAAAUCUUUCACUUUUUUUUUUAGUCCUUCAAUUAAUAAUUUUAGUUUGAUUGGUUUAUCUAUCAUACAUUAUUCAUCACCAUGAAACAGGCAGAGCAUCAACCAGCUACUAGUGACUUUACUACCGGUCUUUGUGAUUGUUGCUCCGAUUGUUCAAGCUGUCUUCUUACAUUUUGUUGCCCCUGCAUUUCCUUUGGACGAAUUGCAGAGAUUGUCGACCAAGGCUCAUUAUCAUGUUGUGCUGCAGGAACCUUCUACUUGGUACUUGCAACCUUUGUAGGGUUUCAAUGGAUUUACACAUGCACAUACCGUGCAAAGCUUAAGGCUCAUUUUGGGAUUCCGGAAAGCACCUGUGAGGAUUGUUGCAUCCACUUCUUUUGUCAAUGUUGUGCCUUGGCUCAAGAGUACCGCGAACUUAAACUCCGUGGCUACAACCCUGCUCUUGGAUGGGAAGGAAAUAUGGAGAGACAAAAGCCUUCCACUGUGCCUCCUCAAAUACCUGUGGGCAUGAUUAGAUAAUAAAUCUCACGUACAAGGUACAACAAAAUGGAGGAUGAGAAAUUAUCUUUGCUCUCUAUGUAUACUCGUAUGUAUAUACAGAGUAUAUGUAACCUCAAAGACGACGCACGCGGUUGUAUAUGUGGUGGUGAUGGUGAUGUCGACGAUGAAGAUGGAGACGGAGGAGGAGGAUGUGGCUGUGGUGGAGGGGGUGUUGUACGUUUGAAAAAGUCAAACCUUGUUGGUUGUGUAGUCUCUUUCUAUCCUCAUAUUAAUUGUUUGAUUAUUAUUUGUUGUAUAUGUUGUAAUCUUGUAAUAAUGUAACUAUGUAAGUGAUAGAUAUCAUAUGUAAAUACAUACACUUGUUAUUUUAUAAUUUUGUACAUCUAUCUAUCUAUUUUCGUUGUCAAAUAAUUUUAUUGAUCGAUCUAAGACUUUAUCAAUGUCUAUAAACUUGCUGAACUUUCAGAGAAGGUAACACAAUAUAUUAAGAUACAUUAUUACUGUAAUUUAAUAUUUUUAAUUAGUCAACAACAUAUAUAGAUAUGAUGAUAUGUAAGAGCCCAUGUAUAAAAACUAAGGAAGAAAAUAAUAGAGGAGCUAAUUUAUUAAGUGUGAUCAAAUGGUGAGGUUUCUAAGUUCUAAGCAUGGUGAGAAUGCUUUAGUAUGGAAUGGUGGUUUUGAGUUCCUUGGAAGUAUUGAGGGUGUCUUGGUGUUGAUAUGUUUGAUGGUUUUGUCUAUUUCAAUCAUGUCAAUGAUUUUAGUUGCUUGUGCUAAUCACUUUGGUCAUCCAAGAAGACGGCGGCGUUGGGGUCGUGGUGGUGGUUUUGGCGGUGGAGAUGGAGAUGGAGGAGGAGGAGGGUGUGGCGGCGGCGAUGGUGGGGGUGGUGAUUAAUUAAUAAUUAUCUGGGAUAUGUAUAUUAUUCAUCUGUUGUGUUAAGAAUGUUGAAUAGUUCAUUAUUGGUUGUGUGAUUCUUUUGUGAUUUUUCCCAAUUCAAUUAUUUUGGUAUUGUGUGUGGCAUUGCAAGCUGUAAUUUGUUAUAAGAGAUUUCUCAUCAUAUAAUAAUACUUAUGCAUAGACUUGGUGUUGUAUC